rnacentral:rRNA from 1 species
CAGUCGCCGCGGGAAUACGAAGGGGGCUAGCGUUGUUCGGAAUUACUGGGCGUAAAGGGCGCGUAGGCGGCCAUUCAAGUUAGAUGUGAAAGCCCUGGGCUCAACCUAGGAAUUGCAUUUGAUACUGUUUGGCUUGAGUUCGGGAGAGGUGAGUGGAAUUCCCAGUGUAGAGGUGAAAUUCGUAGAUAUUGGGAAGAACACCAGUGGCGAAGGCGGCGACCUGGUCCUUGACUGACGCUGAGGCGCGAAAGCGUGGGGAGCAAACAGGAUUAGAGACCCCCGUAGUCCCUGUCUCUUAUAC